GAACCUUUGACCGACAAGGCUGGAGACUUUGAAGGAUAUGGAUCCUAGGUGAUCUACCGUGUUGACGAGGGCCUUCACAGCGUACUCCUUAAGCAUACGGGAGGAAGAAAUGGGUAUAUUGACAUACGCCUGCUUUCCGUCUUCCUGCAUGUAGGCUAGUUCGAAAUACUCGGCUGCAGAAUACAGCUGCGACCGCAGCGUCUUGAGAUCCUGCAUAGAGGUUGGCGUUGAUUGAUAAGAAAAUGCCCAAGCUAUAUCCAUUCCAAAUGCCUGAUUUGGUGCUAUUUUUAAGCAUUUGGGCGUCUGAGUUGGUUCUAAAGAAGGUGGAGGGAAUAUGCAUCAUUGUAGGGGAAGAGAAGAAACACGAGCGUAAUUUGACGGAUAAUAAACCGACCUUGAUGGUUUCAGAGAAGAUGAAUGUCUCCCCCAUCUGCACCUCCUCCGGAGCGCCGCGCAUCCCCGUGUCGUUGGCGGCGCCUCUCCUCCGGAAGCUGGAUGGGAGUAUAGGAUGCUAUGGCGAUGGUGGUGCAGAAGUGGGGAGGCACUCAUGGUGAUGAAUUCAACGAGCUGGGAGGAAGAAGGCCCCGGGGGUUAGUCAUUAGCACGACAGGUAUUUUAUUUAACUACUACUAGUACUACUAGAAGAGUGGCUGAGGUGAUGGCCCGGCAACGGCAGAAACAGCUAUAUAUACAAUAAUGCCAUGCAAUGAUGCAAUGCAAGGCAAGGCAAGGCAACAGGAGACCUACCCUCUUUUCUAGGUAAUAAUUAAGGCAACAGGAGGAGACCUGUGAAUCUGUGAUAAGCAUAAGAUAACAACUGCUCUACUCACUCUACUGGAUGUUGACUGCAUAUGUAGCACUGCCUAGUACUCCCUCCGUCCCAUAAUAAGACGUUUUUUGACACUAGUGUAGUGUCAAAAAACCUCUUACAUUAUAGGACAGAGGAGUACUUUCCUAGUUUCUUAUAUUAUCAACAAGUCUACAACCUACAAGUACCCCACAGCUAUUGUGGUAAUCCAUUUGCACGUAGUACUUUCAUCACCCCUGAGAUGAGGCUCUGAUCCGUUCCUCUACAGCAGGGAGCAGGUGACGGGCACUUCAGAGUGAAUAGAAGUCGGUAGGGCUAGGCACUGAUUUAAUCACACGAGAUGCGUUUGGCUCACAGUGUGCAUCCAUCCAGGUAACCAAAAGGUUGAAAUCAAAAGAAAAGAGAGAAGACGGGAUGAGAUUUGGUUGGGAUGCUGAACCCGGACACCAGCUUGCUUUCUUUUCUUUCCAUGCAGCGUUCAUCAUUUCUGCCCCAUGCAUAUGGGCCCGCCCGCCUUCCUCAUGACCACACUACCGGUCGCAUCAUAAUCACAAACUCUAAAGAUACUCUUCUCAACAACAACCCCAGACUUGUUCCAUGUGUGCAGCUUACUGAUAUGAACCUUUCACUAAAUGUGUGCAGGGCUGGGCAGGCACCCACAGGAUCCAGAAGAAGUGCUUUGCUUUCCCGUUGUACUACCGUAUAGGCUCAACUCCAAGCAAGAACCUUGGGGGAUUAACUAGGAACAGUACUUCCUGUGUCUGGGACAUGAUUGGCUUUCGCCUUGAUUAAGCAAAGUCAAAAGUGCUCUGUCCUCUGUGUCUCUCUCGCCCAUACUAUAUUGUUUUAUUUAUGGCGGUUGUGUGUGUCUUAUUGCUUUCACACUGCUUGGGCUGGGGCAACGGCUCGGGAAUCUGGAGCCUGCAUCUGUGCCGCUGAUUCAUCAGAAAUUGGCACACAUCGCGGUGCCGGAUCAGCAGGCAGGCAGCCGUGCGUGGUGCUGGAUAAACAGAUGGAUAGGUUGUACAGAAAUGAAUAGUACGUACUUGUGUUGUGGACUUGUGGUGAUGGAAUGGCAGAUGUUGCUGCCAAGACGCAAAUAAAAUUUGUCUAUGUUUCA